CUUUGACAGAGGCCCGGGGCGCGGCGGCGGGGAGCGCUGCUGGGGGACCGGGCGCGCUCGGCCGUGGAGCGGGUCCCCCCGGGCACCGGGUCCCGGGCCCUCCACCGCAGCCGCCCGGCUGGGCUGGUGCUGCCCUGGUGACAGCGCGGACAGCGCAGCGCCCCUCGCCUCCGCCCGCCGCGGGAUUCAGGGGCGGGAUCCCGGGGCCGGACUCCACGGCCAUCGCGACCCAUCCGGGAGCUCCUCGCCCCUCCGCGGCGGGACCGAAGCCCGGGCGGGCCGAAGUGGGCCUGGUUGUUGCAGGACUGAAAUCGCUUCCUCCGAAGCAAACCCUCCUCGCAGCCUCAGCGCUUGCGACCCGGCAGGCACCUGUCUCCUCCACAGACGCAAAGCUGACGGCGAAGGUCUUCUCGGCCCCGUGAGACUCAUGAGGCUCGCACGGGGAGAAAAUGGUCCUUGGGGGGGAAGCAGCCGCUGUCCAGACGGCCGCCAAAAUGCCUUGCCCUGGGCCACUAACAGAUGAAUAAGUACACUUGGGAGACACCAGACCCUGGUAACUAGAGGACUGAAAUAACCAGAUUUGUAUCCACUUUUCCAUCCAGAGAGGCCAAACCAUAUCUAGGCCUCAUUUUUUUGGUCUUGAAUCAUUUUUGUGGAAGUGAGGACCGGCUUACAAAGGCCUCUCCACAUGCCAAAGUCUGUCUCACCACUUCCUACCCCAGGAUGUUGAGCCCAUUUGUAUUUCCCCUAGAAUCCAUCCAGCACCCGGAUGUACACACGCCCCUGACUAACAAGCAAAGGGGCUACGGAGAAAGGGGGCUACAGAAGGAACAAGGACAAGCUUCCAUUUAUGCCCCCCCGCCCCAGACACAGCUUCGAAACGGUGCACCCGGGAGGCAUUCCUGUCUUAAAUCUAACCACCGAGGCCCCAGGUGUACUGUUCCCCAGUCGGCCUAAUGGGAUUGAUCUUGUCCAAAAAUGUGAAUAAAAAAAUAGGAUAACGAUGUCCUGGGAUUAGAUCAUACUGAUGGUUGCACAAUUUUGUGAAUCUAGUCGUCCCUCCGUAUCCAAGGGGGAUUGGUUCCAGGACCCGCCUCAGAUCCCAAAAUUUGAGAAUGCUCACCUUCCUUAUAUAAAAUGAGGUAGUAUUUGGAUAUAACCUAGGUACAUCCUCCCGUAUACAUUAUAUCAUCUCUAGAUUACUUAUAAUACCUAGUACAAUACAAACACAAUGUAAAUAAUUGUAAAUUUAAUGUAAAUGAUAUGUAAAUAGUUGCACCCGCAAAUUAAAGUUUUACUUUUUUGGAACAUCCUGGAAA